ensembl:miRNA MIR548Q microRNA 548q
AUAUUAGGCUGGUGCAAAAGUAAUGGCGGUUUUUGCCAUUACUUUUCAUUUUUACCAUUAAAAGUAAUGGCAAAAAGCAUGAUUACUUUUUCACCAACCU